CAAGUACAUCUUUUAUCUCAAUAUAUUGUUUUUGGUUGUGGGGAAACAUCCCAAAGUGGGGCAGGAUGAACAUCGUCCUCGUCUCUUCUUCGCUGGGUUUGGCAGUAUUUAUACUCCUUGUCGCAGCGUCUAAAGAGGGUACAAAGGUCAGCGUGACCUUGUGGCCACCAGGGACGGAGGUCUUCCUCGGGGAAUGUGUGCUGCUGCGGUGCGGAGUCGAGUCCAACGGCUCUUUGGCGUGGAACUAUCGCUUUUUCCGGAACGAGCCCCGCGCCAGCCAGACGAGAAACCCCAGACAUCUGCUCUCCGGCGGCACCUACUCCAUCACCGCUGUGACAAGGGAGGACGUCGGCAGGUACUGGUGCCAGGCCGAGCGCUCCGACAGCAACACCACCGUUGUGCUUUUGAGCAGGCCCGUUACGCUGAGUGUGUCAGAGCUGCCCCCACCCAUGCUGACUCUGACCCCAAGCGCCAGGCAUAUGUUCAUAGGGGAGACCUUUACCUUGCAGUGCCCCGAGAAACUGACAAAUUCCUCUGCCUGGGUCUUGAGGCAAACUUGGACAGGCCACUUCAUGAGGACCGCUGACUCCAAGACCGGUGCAUGCUCAACACUAGACAGUGUUGUCAGGCCAGGGAGAUCCAGUACCUGUGUUGUCUCUACGGCAAGGGGGAACAGCGGACUGUACUGGUGCGAGGGUGCUGAGGGGCGCACCAACGCGGUCCACAUUACUGUCACCUCCAGUCUGGUCAUCAUGAGGACCCCCGCCUUCUCUGUACCGCACGGGAGCAACGUGGUCUUAGCUUGCCUCUUCCGGAAAGGGAACCACACGAAAGGCACGUUCUUCAGAAACGGCGUGGAAACGUCCACUUACAGUUCUCCCGAUCCUGGCACAGAACUAAAACUGACCAUUGAGAACGUGACCGAGGGCCACGAAGGCUUCUACAAGUGUGCCUCACAGGACGGAAAGCUGGAAAGCCCCCAGAGCUGGUUGUCAGUUACAAGCAACUUAUUACCUGCGGAUGUGUCUCCUGACUCCGGUUCUGGUUCCUGGAUUUGGAUCCUUGUUUCCUGCGUUCUUAUAAUCCUCAUCCCGCUUGCUAUUUUGCUAAUUCAUCAUUUCAGGUACAAGAUGUUUUACGCUCAAAGCUGUUGGAGGGAGGGAACUCCCGCAGCCGUGCUUCCUGCCACCAAGCAGGAUGUGACGGAGGUCCAGUGGGAUCUUUCCUGGAUGGAGAUGUCCAAUCUGCUGUAUCCGGGCACAUGAAGGUUUUCACCCAUAUCAGUUAUGGACGCGAGGCUAAUCAAUUGAUGCGUAGCACUGUAUGGUACAGAAUACUGUAGUAUUACAUUAUUGGAUUGGUCUAAUUUUCACAAAUUUGUCUCGUGGGCUCACGCAAUGGAACUUUCCGAUGGCGAUCUUAAGCUCCGCCCCCUUAGCCAAGUCCCAGGAGCUUCCAAAAUGGCGACUGAACACAACAGGGCCCCGAUGACGACUGGUGCUCAGCCAGAUCGUUGAGGUUCAUGUCCCGGUCCAGCACUCUCGUAUCCCUGAUCGUCAACCCGUGUGUACCGACCUUCGCCUGUUCUCCGACCGACCUCGUGAGCCUGACUCCUUUGAGACUUCUGCCUGCAUUGUACCGACUCCUGCCUGCCCGCUCACCUGCUCUCUUCGCCCGACGUCCCAACUACCGCUGCUGCACCUGACUGCCUGCCCGAUCCCCGACCUCCUAAUAAUAAAAGUUUUU